rnacentral:lncRNA from 1 species
GAAAUACUAUAAGGAUGAAAUUGCUGUUACGUGGUAGAUACAGACACCUGUCAUAUUCUCUUAAGAAGACCAUGACAAUAUGUUUUUGAUGUUACCUAUAAAGGCUGAGAUAAUACUUUUAUCAUUUGGUGGCAUGAUAGUAAGAUCAUUUUAGUACUGCAAUCUUCAUCAAGGGAUGGUAAAAUUUGCGAAGUUUUUUUUUGUCGAUAGGGAAAUACUAUAAGGAUGAAAUUGCUGUUACGUGGUAGAUACAGACACCUGUCAUAUUCUCUUAAGAAGACCAUGACAAUAUGUUUUUGAUGUUACCUAUAAAGGAUGAGAUAAUACUUUUAUCAUUUGGUGGCAUGAUAGUAAGAUCAUUUUAGUACUGCAAUCUCCAUCAAGGGAUGGUAAAAUUUGCGAAGUUUUUUUUUGUCGAUAGGGAAAUACUAUAAGGAUGAAAUUGCUGUUACGUGGUAGAUACAGACACCUGUCAUAUUCUCUUAAGAAGACCAUGACAAUAUGUUUUUGAUGUUACCUAUAAAGGAUGAGAUAAUACUUUUAU